GAAAUGCGAUAAGUAAUGUGAAUUGCAGAAUUCAGUGAAUCAUCGAAUCUUUGAACGCACCUUUCGCUCCUUGGUAUUCCGAGGAGCAUGCCUGUUUGAGUGUCAUGGAAUUCUCAACUCUAUUUGCUUUUGUGAAUAGAGCUUGGAUUUGGAGGUUUAUUGCUGGUACUUGUGAUCGGCUCCUCUUGAAUGCAUUAGCUCGAACCUUUGCGGAUCAGCUAUCGGUGUGAUAAUUGUCUACGCCGUUGCAGUGAAGCAUAUCAAUGGGCUCGGCUUCCAAUCGUCCUUUACUGGACAAUGACUUUGACCUUUGACCUCAAAUCAGGUAGGAUUACCCGCUGAACUUAAGC
rnacentral:misc_RNA from 1 species